ensembl:snoRNA
ACCCUCUCAGCUCUGCUCAGUGGCGCACAAUGCCAGUGGCGCUGCUGUCGUUUUCCGAGAGGGACAGUAAUGGAGUCCCUAAAUGCACGGCAGCGGGACCUGACUCAGUGGUCUCCCUGUUCCUUCCCGGACUCAACAAGC